GGAAGAGAACAAUCGGGAUAGCCUCGCAGAAGCCUGUCAGUAGGCCGAUGCCGGGGCGAAACGCUAAUAUGCUGACUACGCUCGUAGACACUUAAAUUACGAUGCUUCUGGACGUGGGUUCGACUCCCACCGUCUCCA
rnacentral:tRNA from 1 species